CCUACGGGAGGCAGCAGUGGGGAAUAUUGCGCAAUGGGCGAAGCCUGACGCAGCAACGCCGCGUGCGGGAUGAAGGCCUUCGGGUUGUAAACCGCUUUCAGCAGGGACGAAGGAUUUCUGACGGUACCUGCAGAAGAAGCACCGGCUAACUACGUGCCAGCAGCCGCGGUAAU
rnacentral:rRNA from 1 species